rnacentral:rRNA from 1 species
GCCAGACUCCUACGGGAGGCAGCAGUGGGGAAUAUUGGGCAAUGGGCGCAAGCCUGACCCAGCAACGCCGCGUGAAGGAAGAAGGCCCUCGGGUUGUAAACUUCUUUUGUCAGGGACGAAGAAAGUGACGGUACCUGACGAAUAAGCCACAGCUAACUACGUGCCAGCAGCCGCGGUAAUACGUAGGUGGCAAGCGUUAUCCGGAUUUAUUGGGUUUAAAGGGUGCGUAGGCGGGCUUUUAAGUCAGCGGUAAAAAUUCGGGGCUCAACCCCGUCCGGCCGUUGAAACUGGGGGCCUUGAGUGGGCGAGAAGAAGGCGGAAUGCGUGGUGUAGCGGUGAAAUGCAUAGAUAUCACGCAGAACCCCGAUUGCGAAGGCAGCCUUCCGGCGCCCUACUGACGCUGAGGCACGAAAGUGCGGGGAUCGAACAGGAUUAGAUACCCCGGUAUAC